rnacentral:rRNA from 1 species
UACGGAGGGGGCUAGCGUUGUUCGGAAUUACUGGGCGUAAAGCGCACGUAGGCGGCUUUGUAAGUUAGGGGUGAAAGCCCGGAGCUCAACUCCGGAACUGCCUUUAAGACUGCAUCGCUAGAACGUCGGAGAGGUAAGUGGGAUUCCGAGUGUAGAGGUGAAAUUCGUAGAUAUUCGGAAGAACACCAGUGGCGAAGGCGACUUACUGGACGACUGUUGACGCUGAGGUGCGAAAGCGUGGGGAGCAAACAGG